UCUUUUCAGGUCUGUGGUUGCGAAGUUCUCUAUGAGCUUCUAGUCCAUGACAGACGAGGUCAAAGGGAUCCACGUAAGUUUAUGUGUGCGCACGUAAACGAUCAUGGCUCGUCCUAGAAGUAAGCCGUACCGCCUGUUAUAUAAAUGAGACAAAGGGUCUCGCAGGCGAGAGAGCUAUUAGUGGAGCUACUGCGGUAGUAAAGCAAACGUUCCAGUAUGCGAGUGUGGGGUCAAAUACCAGGUCAGCUGAAAAGA
ncrna:Atopobium parvulum DSM 20469 raiA RNA